GUGGGGAAUUUUGGACAAUGGGCGCAAGCCUGAUCCAGCAAUGCCGCGUGCAGGAAGAAUGCCUUCGGGUUGUAAACUGCUUUUGUACGGAACGAAACGGUCCUGGCUAAUACCCGGGGCUAAUUACGGUACCGUAAGAAUAAGCACCGGCUAACUACGUGCCAGCAGCCGCGGUAAUACGUAGGGUGCGAGCGUUAAUCGGAAUUACUGGGCGUAAAGCGUGCGCAGGCGGUGCUGUAAGACAGGCGUGAAAUCCCCGGGCUCAACCUGGGAAUUGCGCUUGUGACUGCAGUGCUGGAGUGCGGCAGAGGGGGAUGGAAUUCCGCGUGUAGCAGUGAAAUGCGUAGAUAUGCGGAGGAACACCGAUGGCGAAGGCAAUCCCCUGGGCCUGCACUGACGCUCAUGCACGAAAGCGUGGGGAGCAAACAGGAUUAGAAACCCCAGUAGUCC
rnacentral:rRNA from 1 species